ACAAAGACAAUGAUGAGGAAGAGUAAAUAGUGAUUAUUUUUUAGAGAGUGAGAUACUGGUGGGAACUCAUAAAUAUAGCUAUUGAAGGUAGCCUUUGAGUCGAAAGUUGAAUUUCAGUAGGCUUUUUCCGGUUUGAACCGUUAUUAUUUAAGUAAAAAAUUUGGGUGGUACCGCGCGACCAAAAAUUCUCGCCCCAAGC
rnacentral:ncRNA from 1 species